AUCACUUCCUGGCCUUUUGGCUAAGAUCAAGUGUAGCAUCUGUUCUUAUCAGAGUUGCUUACUUGGAAUAUUUUUGGGGGAAAUUAACAACAUGACCAGAGAGCUGCU